AUAGAAAUUUUUUUUGUAUUUUAAUUUUUUUUUUUUUUGGAAAAUCCCAGUGCAUGCUGCUGAAAUUUGCUACACAAUUACUAAAUGUCCCCGCACUCGUUACACCCUUAUUUCUGAUGUAUCAAAUGGAACUGAGUUAGUAACAUUUUCAUAUUUCCAUAGACCCAUUAUAGCAAUGCCAUUUCUUGGGGGAAAAAAUAUUGGAUUGUAAUUUAUUGGACAUGGAUUCACCCGCUUUAGAACAUUGAAACAUUCAAUGUUUGCUUGAAUUGGCAGUGAGCUGCUUGAUCAAUCUGACAGGUUUUAUUGUUAGUGAGAUUACUACUUAUCAUGUUUAAGCCAGCAAUCUUGUUACUUUUGUUGGCAUGUGGAAAAUAAUGCCUUAAAAUAUGGGUUUCUUAUGAAUGGUUGUCACAUCUCAUCAACAGAUAAUAGUGGGAAAGUUCAACGAAGAAGCUGGACAUGUAAAAUAAGGUUGUAUUUCACAUGUUAUCAUGUGAUGAUGGGAUCUACAAUGAAGGUCCUUGGUAGAAUUGAUUGCGCUGUAGUGCUUAUCCUGUGGAAGCUUGUUAUGUUAUAGUGAUAAACUGAAUAUGUUACUUUUAUUUGUGCAAAAUUGCAAACCCUAGCUUAAAAUAGCAAGUCAAGGCCAUUCGGUUGAAAUUCUAUCUUUACAUCUGUCUAAACGGAACAUUGUCAAAAAAAAAAAAAAAGGGAAAAAUUCGG